GAUGAAGAACGUAGCGAAAUGCGAUACGUAAUGUGAAUUGCAGAAUUCAGUGAAUCAUCGAAUCUUUGAACGCACAUUGCGCCUGCCAGCACUCUGGCAGGCAUGCCUGUUCGAGCGUCAUUUCAACCAUCAAGCCCUAGGCUUGCGUUGGAGCCCUGCGGCUGACGCAGGCCCCUAAAAGCAGUGGCGGGCUCGCUAUCACACCGAGUGCAGUAGAUUACUCUUCGCUCAGGGCGUGUGGCGGGUUCCAGCCGUGAAACCCCCUACUUCUCAAGGUUGACCUCGGAUCAGGUAGGAAUACCCGCUGAACUUAAGCAUAUCAAUAAGCGGAGGA
rnacentral:misc_RNA from 1 species